GACAGUGGUUAAAGUGGGAAGAAAUAUAUUUAAAUGCAAUAUUUGGAUUUAUCUUAGUGGUGGAAUUAUGAAUAACCAUGAUUACCUCUUUAUGCUUUUCUAGGCUUUUAACAGGUUUUUCUUUCCUUUCACAAAAAAAAAAAAAAGAAAAUAAGAUUUUGAUAAAAAUAACUAGCAAAGGUAAUGAAGCCAAAUCCCAUCACGUGUACUUGUGUGAUUGAGGGCUGAGUGGAAGGAAGCAAUCAGAGUCAAAUUAUCUGUCAGAAGGUCAAGGCCAGGGUGAGAGUCAGAACUCAAUACAACAGUCCUCUGGCUACAAGGAGCUUUGGUUGAGGUGCCCAUCUCCUAGAGGAGGCCCACAUCAAGGUUCUGUGGGACAGCAUCUUAUAAUCUAAGAUUUCUCUCUCCCUGGCCUUCAGGCAUCCUGUACUCUGACAAAGAAAGAAAAAAUACUUCAAAGAGAAACCAAAAUUCUGCCUUCAAACACAUCAAAGUAACCAUGUUCCAGGAUCCUGGAUCCUUCAAGUCGAGCAAGAAAGUUUAUUAUUCCCUCACAUCAGCCUCAAGCCAAGCGCCCUAAGCUGAGUGAAUCUCCCUAUUUCCACAAAGCCUUGAGCUCUUGCCCAAAUCUUAAGACCAGAGUGGUAAACUUUCAUCAUUUCUGAGUGAGGCCAUCUCUCUGAGCAUCUGAUAUGUAAGAUCAGAACACAGAAAGUCACAUCCUUUUCAUACAAAAUCU